GACGAACGCUGGCGGCGUGCCUAAUACAUGCAAGUCGAACGCUGAAGGAGGAGCUUGCUUCUCUGGAUGAGUUGCGAACGGGUGAGUAACGCGUAGGUAACCUGCCUGGUAGCGGGGGAUAACUAUUGGAAACGAUAGCUAAUACCGCAUAAGAGUAGAUGUUGCAUGACAUUUGCUUAAAAGUUGCAAUUGCAUCACUACCAGAUGGACCUGCGUUGUAUUAGCUAGUUGGUGGGGUAACGGCUCACCAAGGCGACGAUACAUAUCCGACCGGAGAGGGUGAUUAGCCGCACUGGGAGGGUGACACGGCACAGACUGCCACGGGAGGCACCAGGAGGGAAUCUGCGGGAAUGAGCGGAAGUCAGUGCGAGCAACGCGGAGUGAGUGUGGAGGGUCUUCGGAUCGUAGAGGUCGGUUGUAAGAGAGUAACGAGUGUGAGAGUGUAAAGAAGACACAGUGACGGUAUCUUACCAGGAAGGAACGGCUAACUACGUG
rnacentral:rRNA from 1 species